rnacentral:sRNA from 1 species
UUAAUAGAGCGCUAGGGUUCCGAUUGCACCUUGCAAUGACUGGUCCGAGAGCACUCAACCUUCACAGUGAAGGUCACACGGCGGGACAAAAGCCCGGGAGAU